AGGAUGAACGCUAGCGGCAGGCCUAAUACAUGCAAGUCGAACGGUAGGUAGAGUAGCAAUACUUUGCCUAGAGUGACGUACGGGUGCGUAACACGUAUGCAACCUACCCUUUACAGGCGGAUAGCUCGGGGAAACCCGAAUUAACCCGCCGUAGUAUAAUUGAGUGGCAUCAUUUGAUUACUAAAAACUCCGGUAGGUAAAGGAUGGGCAUGCGUCUGAUUAGUUAGUUGGUAGUGGUAACGAUACCGAAGACGAUGAUCAGGUAGGGAACUGAGAGGUUGACUCCCCACACUGCAUGAGAUACGGGCCAGGACUCCGUAGGGAGGCAGG
rnacentral:rRNA from 1 species